rnacentral:rRNA from 1 species
UACGUAGGGUGCAAGCGUUGUCCGGAAUUAUUGGGCGUAAAGAGCUCGUAGGCGGUCUGUUGCGUCGGCUGUGAAAACCCGGGGCUCAACCCCGGGCCUGCAGCCGAUACGGGCAGACUAGAGUUCGGCAGGGGAGACUGGAAUUCCUGGUGUAGCGGUGAAAUGCGUAGAUAUCGAGAGGAACACCUGCGGCGAAGGCGGGUUGCUGGGCUGACACUGACGCUGAUGCGCGAAAGCGUGGGGGAGCAAACAGG